CGACAUUCCCUUAAACAAAGCGUACGAACGGGGAAAUUCAUGAAAACGGCAAAACAGACGAACAAAGCAGUUAUAAUCCAGACAGAUGGGUCUGUCACACACAGUAACUCGUGUAGGUGUGAUUUAUAGGCCCCCAGGACAAAUUGAAGAGUUAGAUAAUCAACUUGUUGAGGAAAUAGCUAAAAUGACAAUGAAGGGGGAAGUUAUCAUCAUGGGUGACUUUAAUCUUCCUGAUGUAAAUUGGAAAACAAAAUUAGCUACUUGUGCCUUGAGCACACAUAUUCUAAACAGGAUUGUAAGGGUAAGGGUUAUGUAAUAAGGUGAGUAUGGCUGGGAUUGUCUCUAAAACAAGUUGUUGAGGAG